rnacentral:rRNA from 1 species
UGGCGAACGGGUGAGUAAUACAUCGGAACGUGCCUAGUAGUGGGGGAUAACUACUCGAAAGAGUGGCUAAUACCGCAUGAGAUCUACGGAUGAAAGCAGGGGAUCGCAAGACCUUGUGCUACUAGAGCGGCUGAUGGCAGAUUAGGUAGUUGGUGGGAUAAAAGCUUACCAAGCCGACGAUCUGUAGCUGGUCUGAGAGGACGAUCAGCCACACUGGGACUGAGACACGGCCCAGACUCCUACGGGAGGCAGCAGUGGGGAAUUUUGGACAAUGGGCGAAAGCCUGAUCCAGCCAUGCCGCGUGCGGGAUGAAGGCCUUCGGGUUGUAAACUGCUUUUGUACGGAACGAAAAGCUUCGGGCUAAUACCCUGGAGUCGUGACGGUACCGUAAGAAUAAGCACCGGCUAACUACGUGCCAGCAGCC